CCACCAUUAUUUCCACAAAUGU
rnacentral:snRNA from 1 species